UUUGCAUUAAACCUCAAAUAGAAAUGUCAGGAGAAACUCAUUUUUUAGGGAAAUAGUCACACGGCUCACACAAAACAAAUUUCAACCCCGGGCUAGAGAUCUCUGACGGGUUCAAGCAGCACGAAUCGAAGAUGUGCAGCCCCUGCUGUGGAUCCUGCUGCGGACCUUGCUGCGGCCCCUGCUGCAGCCCCUGUUGCCCACCGUGCUGCAAUGAUUGCUGCGGGUCCUGCUGCAGUCCCUGCUGCAGCCCCUGUUGCAGCCCCUGCUGCGGACCCUGCUGCAGCCCUUGCUGCACUCCUUGCUGCACCCCCUGCUGCGCGCCCUGCUGCGCGCCCUGCUGCACGCCCUGCUGCAAGUGCUGUACGCCCUGCUGCUGCACCCCCUGCUGCACGCCGUGCUGCACCCCUUGCUGCACGCCCUGCUGCACCCCCUGCUGCACUCCGUGCUGCAGUCCGUGCUGCGGCCCCUGCUGCUCCCCCUGCGGCGGGUCAAAGUGCAAGUGAUCCACGGAAGCGAGAUUGGAUUCAGGGGCGGGAGCCAAUCGCAAAUGUCACCACAAGUUCGUCGAGCUCGUUGGAGGACCGCCGGAGCCCACCUGCCAUUACCAGCUAAGGCAAUCAAAUACACGGAAAGUCAACAGCA